AUUGAACGCUGGCGGCAUGCCUUACACAUGCAAGCCGAACGGCAGCACGGGAGCAAUCCUGGUGGCGAGUGGCGAACGGGUGAGUAAUACAUCGGAACGUGCCCAGUUGUGGGGGAUAGCCCGGCGAAAGCCGGAUUAGUACCGCAUACGACCUACGGGUGAAAGCGGGGGAUCGCAAGACCUCGCGCAAUUGGAGCGGC
rnacentral:rRNA from 1 species